AUUGAACGCUGGCGGCAGGCCUAACACAUGCAAGUCGAGCGGAGCGGCGGACGGGUGAGUAAUGCCUAGGAAUCUGCCUGGUAGUGGGGGAUAACGUCCGGCAACGGGCGCUAAUACCGCAUACUAUCAGAUGAGCCUAGGUCGGAUUAGCUAGUUGGUGGGGUAAAGGCAUACCAAGGCGACUAUCCGUAACUGGGCUGAGAGGAUGAUCAGCAACAGUGGAACUGGGAAACGGUCCAGACUCCUCCGGGAGGCAGCAGUGGGGAAUAUUGGCCAAUGGGCGAAAGCCUGAGCCAGCCAUGCCGGGUGGGUGAAGAAGGUCUGCGGAUUGUAAAGCACUUUAAGUUGGGAGGCGUUACCAACAGAAUAAGCACCGGCUAACUUCGUGCCAGCCGCCGCGGUAAUUC
rnacentral:rRNA from 1 species